rnacentral:rRNA from 1 species
AUUGCCUCAGUAACGGCGAGUGAAGCGGCAACAGCUCAAAUUUGAAAUCUGGCUCUUUCAGGGUCCGAGUUGUAAUUUGUAGAGGAUGUUUCGGGUGUGGCUCCGGUCUAAGUUCCUUGGAACAGGACGUCAUAGAGGGUGAGAAUCCCGUAUGUGACUGGUAGCCUAUGCUCAUGUGAAACUCCUUCGACGAGUCGAGUUGUUUGGGAAUGCAGCUCAAAAUGGGUGGUAAAUUUCAUCUAAAGCUAAAUAUUGGCCAGAGACCGAUAGCGCACAAGUAGAGUGAUCGAAAGAUGAAAAGCACUUUGGAAAGAGAGUUAAACAGUACGUGAAAUUGUUGAAAGGGAAGCGCUUGCAACCAGACUUGCAUGUAGCUGAUCAACCGGUGUUCUCACCGGUGCACUCAGUUGCGUUCAGGCCAGCAUCGGUUUCGACGGUUGGAUAAAGGCCUUGGGAAUGUAGCUUCUUUCGGGGAGUGUUAUAGCCCAGGGUGCAAUGCAGCCUGUUGGGACCGAGGACCGCGCUUCGGCUAGGAUGCUGGCGUAAUGGUUGUAAGCGACCCGUCUUGAAACACGGACCAAGGAGUCUAACAUCUAUGCGAGUGUUUGGGUGUCAAACCCAUACGCGUAAUGAAAGUGAACGGAGGUGAGAACCCUUAAGGGUGCAUCAUCGACCGAUCCUGAUGUCUUCGGAUGGAUUUGAGUAAGAGCAUAGCUGUUGGGACCCGAAAGAUGGUGAACUAUGCCUGAAUAGGGUGAAGCCAGAGGAAACUCUGGUGGAGGCUCGCAGCGGUUCUGACGUGCAAAUCGAUCGUCAAAUUUGGGUAUAGGGGCGAAAGACUAAUCGAACCAUCUAGUAGCUGGUUCCUGCCGA